AUGACAUUGCUAAAGAUGUUUGGUGAUUUCAGGAAGAACACCCCUGAAGAGCGAAACAUCCGUUUUGGCGUUAGAGAGCAUGCAAUGGGCGCCGUUUGCAAUGGCAUUGUUGUGCACAGCCCUGGCCUGAUACCUUACUGUUCGACAUUCUUUGUGUUCACUUACUACAUGAGAGCUCCUAUACGGCAUUAUCUGAAUUUUGUGAUGACUCAUGAUUCCAUUGGACUUGGAGAAGAUGGGCCGACACAUCAACCGGUUGAGCAGUUAAGGCCCUCGCGCCUGUUGGAGGUGCUUGCGCACGCCAUCUUUUACAGCGGCCGCUGGAGCCAAUGCUCUUAUAGGAUCGCGGUUAUCAACAGGAAAAAGCCCUCCAUCCUUGCACUCUCUCGACAGAAACUCUCUCAGGUGGAAGGAACUUCGGUUGAAGGCGUUGCAAAGGGAGGCUACGCCAUUUCUGACAAUUCAUCGGGAAACAAACCUGACCUCAUCCUAAUCAGCACACGCUCCGAGCUCGAGAUCGCAGCAAAAGCAGCCGAUCAGCUGAGGAAGGAGGGGAAAUCUGUACAGGUUGUCUCGCUUGUUUGCUGGGAAUUAUUUGAGGAGCAGUCUGAGGAGUACAAGGAGAGUGUCCUACCAAGCGAGGUUACUUCCAGGAUUAGCGUCGAAGCCGGCGUCACACUAGGAUGGGAGAAGUAUAUAGGACAGAAGGGCAAAGUAAUCGGCAUUAACCGUUUCGGUUCAAGUGCUCCUGCUGGAAGAAUAUACAGGGAGCUUGGUUUGACGGUGGAGAAUCUCAUUGCAACAGCCAAAUCACUGUAA
rnacentral:rRNA from 1 species